rnacentral:rRNA from 1 species
AACGAACGCUGGCGGCGCGUCUUAAGCAUGCAAGUCGAACGGUAACACGGGGCAGCCUGGUGACGAGUGGCGAACGGGUGAGUAACGCGUAGGUGAUCUGCCUUUUGGUUGGGGAUAUACCGUGGAAACACGGGGUAAUACCGAAUAAGUUCCUCUGGUUUGGACUGGGGGAGGAAAGGGGCUACGGCCUCGCCGAAAGAUGAGCCUGCGUUUGAUUAGCUAGUUGGUGAGGUAAAAGCUCACCAAGGCGACGAUCAAUAGCCGGCCUGAGAGGGUGGUCGGCCACACUGGGACUGAGAUACGGCCCAGACUCCUACGGGAGGCAGCAGCUAAGAAUCUUCCACAAUGGACGAAAGUCUGAUGGAGCGACGCCGCGUGGGUGAUGAAGGCGGAAACGUUGUAAAGCCCUUUUAUAGACGAGGAAUAAGAUCCGGAGGGAAUGCCGGGUCGAUGACGGUAGUCUGUGAAUAAGCCCCGGCUAAUUACGGGCCAGCAGCCGCCGUAA